rnacentral:rRNA from 1 species
UGAGUUUGAUCCUGGCUCAGAAUGAACGCUAGCGAUAAGCUUAACACAUGCAAGUUGUACGUCUCUCAAUUCAUUGAGAGGAGUAGCGAACGGGUGAGUAACACGUAAGAAUCUGCCUCAUAAAUCAAGGAAAGGCUUUCUGAAUCUUGAAUAGGUUGCCUGAUUUUUUUUUGCUAAGAAAAAGGAUCAAGUCACUCAAAGUUGUAAAACGUUAUGAGAUGAGCUUGCGUCGGAUUAGCUAGUUGGUGAGGUAAAGGCUUACCAAGGCAACGAUCCGUAGCUGGUCUGAGAGGAUGAUCGGCCACACUGGGACUGAGACACGGCCCAGACUCCUACGGGAGGCAGCAGUGAGGAAUAUUGGACAAUGGGCGAAAGCCUGAUCCAGCUAGAUCGCGUGGGCGACGAAGACUGUUUUGGUUGUAAAGCCCUUUACUCAAACAGAGAUUAUGACAGAGUUUGAGAAAAAAGUCCCGGCCAAUCUCGUGCCAGCAGCCGCGGUAAUACGAGAGGGGCGAGCGUUAUUCGGAAUGAUUGGGCGUAAAGAGCACGUAGACUGUUUAGAUUAUCAAAGAGAAAAAAAUCAGAGCUUAACUUUGAAACUUGUCUUGUUUUCUCGUGAAAACUUUUCUUAAAAGUUUUCACGAGAAAACUUAUGGAUCAAAUUUUUAAAAUUUGGACCCGAUACCUAAACUAGAGUGAGUAAGAGGAGAAUGGAAUUCCUGGCGUAGAGGUAAAAUUUGUUGAUAUCAGGAGGAACACCAAAAGCGAAGGCAAUUCUCUGGGACUCCACUGACGUUGAGGUGCGAAAGCGUGGGGAGCAAAGGGGAUUAGAUACCCCCGUAGUCCACGCCGUCAACGAUGACCUUUCUAGAAACAUUUGUAUCUUCUGAAAGCUUGGUGACUAGAUUUUUCUAGUAAUUGCUGAUGUAAUCAGUCAUCAGGUGAAGGUUUAAACUUUUCUAUUAGCUAACGCGUUAAAUGGUCCGCCUGAGGAGUACGGUCGCAAGAUUAAAACUCAAAGGAAUUGACGGGGGCCCGCACAAGCGGUGGAGCAUGUGGUUUAAUUCGAAACAACGCGCAAAACCUUACCAGKCCUUGACAUAAUCUUUUCACAAUCUUUGUUAUAUUUAAGAUAAUUCUUUUUUUUGUUAAAAAAAAAAACAAGUGAAGAUUACAGGUGUUGCAUGGCUGUCGUCAGUUCGUGUUGUGAAAUGUUGGAUUAAUUUCCUUAACGAACGAAACCCCUCUUUUCAUUCAAAAAAUCUUUGUUUCAAGAAAACAAAGUCUUUUAAAUGAAAUUACAGCUGGUGAUAGACUAGAGGAAGGAAGGGAUCACGUCAAGUCCUCAUGACCCUUAUGGGCUGGGCUACACACGUGUUACAAUGGUGAAUACAAAGAGAAGCUAGAAUGAAAAUUGGAGCAAAUCUCAAAAAACUCACCCUAGUUCAGAUUGUUCUCUGCAAUUCGAGAACAUGAAGCCGGAAUCACUAGUAAUCGUGGAUCAGCACGCCACGGUGAAUAUGUACCUGAGCCUUGUACUCCCCGCCCGUCACACACUGUAAAUUGAUAGUAUAGGAAGUCUCUCUCUCUAGUGAAAAAAUGAUGUUUUUCAUGCUGAGAAACUUAUGAUUUUUUCACUGGAACAGGAGCCGAAUAUAAGAUGAGUGAAUGGUGUGAAGUCGUAACAAGGUAGCCGUAGGGGAACCUGCGGCUGGAUUAAUA